AACAAGGAGGACAAGGUGAAGAAAGGACAAGGGCACAGUGACUUGCAGUGUGUGUCAUGUAACAUUAUUACAACAUCUAUAUCAUGGGUCCAUAAUUUUGAGUAAGUCAUUCAUCAACCACUUUAUCUGUACUGGAAACAAUUUCUGAGAGGGAUGAAGUGAUGGAAGAUAAUGAGCCAGAGGGUGGAACGGAAGAGAAAGGGAAAGAAAUAAAGAAAAAGGCAGAAUGAAAAAGGACUAGAACUUGCAAUAGAAGAAAAAGUUGAGGAAAUGAAGAGGAAGAAAUUGAAGAUGAAAAGAAGAGCUCUGGGAGGAAAAAAUUCCAUUUGUAAGAUGUGUGGACAAAAGAAAAACAGCCAUAGAGUGCCAAUGUGGAGUGGAAUAAGUCAGUAUGACUUAAACAUGGUCAAUUGAAGUGUUUGAAUGCCCCUCCAGAAAGCAGAACAAUCUUUGAAUUUGCAGGAAAGAGUAUAAAAUUUGCUGUUAAAAUAUCAUAACAGCUAGACAAAGAUUAAAUAACAACUACAUGUACAUCUAAAGAAUUCUUUUGUCAUAAUAGUGAUUCAUGUGCUAGUACAUGUGACAAGCGCUAUAACGACCUAAUAUAAGUGUGUUUUAGGAGCAUGUUGACUCUAUUGUAAAUGUAUUGACUCCUUAUAUGACCUCAUUUAUAUAUAACAUUAUAUGAAUGGUAGUGUAGUGACUUGA